UGGGGCAGCUACCAUGCAGUCGAGCGGAACGAUGAUAGCUUGCUAUCAGGCGUCGAGCGGCGGACGGGUGAGUAACGCGUAGGAACCUACCUGGUAGUUUGGGAUAGCCCAGAGAAAUUUGGAUUAAUACCGGAUACGCCCCACGGGGGAAAGCGGAGGAUCUUCGGACUUCGCGCUAUCAGAUGGGCCUGCGUGAGAUUAGCUAGUUGGUGGGGUAAUGGCCCACCAAGGCGACGAUCUCUAGCUGGUUUGAGAGGAUGAUCAGCCACACUGGGACUGAGACACGGCCCAGACUCCUACGGGAGGCAGCAGUGGGGAAUAUUGCACAAUGGGCGCAAGCCUGAUGCAGCCAUGCCGCGUGUGUGAAGAAGGCUCUAGGGUUGUAAAGCACUUUCAGCAGUGAGGAAAGGUUGUAAGUUAAUACCUUACAGCUGUGACGUUAACUGCAGAAGAAGCACCGGCUAACUCCGUGCCAGCAGCCGCGGUAAUACGGAGGGUGCGAGCGUUAAUCGGAAUUACUGGGCGUAAAGCGCACGUAGGUGGCUUGUUAAGCUGGAUGUGAAAGCCCCGGGCUCAACCUGGGAACUGCAUCCAGAACUGGCAAGCUUGAUUACGGUAGAGGUGCGUGGAAUUUCCUGUGUAGCGGUGAAAUGCGUAGAGAUGGGAAGGAACACCAGUGGCGAACGACUCACUGGACUGAUACUGACACUGAGGUGCGAAAGCGUGGGUAGCAAACAGGAUUAGAUACCCUGGUAGUCCACGCCGUAAACGAUGUCUACUAGCCGUUGGGGUCCUUGAGACCUUAGUGGCGCAGCUAACGCACUAAGUAGACCGCCUGGGGAGUACGGUCGCAAGAUUAAAACUCAAAUGAAUUGACGGGGGCCCGCACAAGCGGUGGAGCAUGUGGUUUAAUUCGAAGCAACGCGAAGAACCUUACCUACUCUUGACAUCCAGAGAACUUGCCAGAGAUGGCUUGGUGCCUUCGGGAACUCUGAGACAGGUGCUGCAUGGCUGUCGUCAGCUCGUGUUGUGAAAUGUUGGGUUAAGUCCCGUAACGAGCGCAACCCUUGUCCUUAGUUGCCAGCAUUUAGUUGGGGACUCUAAGGAGACUGCCGGUGACAAACCGGAGGAAGGCGGGGACGACGUCAAGUCAUCAUGGCCCUUACGAGUAGGGCUACACACGUGCUACAAUGGCCGGUACAAACGGUUGCCAACCUGCGAAGGGGAGCUAAUCUGAGAAAGCCGGUCGUAGUCCG
rnacentral:rRNA from 1 species